rnacentral:lncRNA from 1 species
AUUCCGUUUUUCAUAAAAUCUAUAUGAAUUACAGUCCACUAUCACCGCACAGCUAGUGCAGUACUGUUUCAAGACGACCAGCAGUAACCACUAGCCACAAUCGAUCGGCCGUGAGCAGACAAUAUUACCUGUUGAACGUGGACGACGACGGAACGCGACGCAGCUGAUACGAUGAGAACUGUGAAGAUGCUUCCUCGGCAGUGGUCGCGGGUACAGUUGUCACAGUGUUUCAACUCGUUGAGCUCGAGAUGAUUUUGUUCGUGAUAUUUGCGACGGUUUCCGUUGAAGCUCAUAUUGUAUAUAUGUCAAUGUCGUCCAUACACGUGAUCACUGCCGUCUGUCCUCGAUCGACAUAGUCGUCACUCGUCGUCGAACAACUGUCAACCAACUACAGUGUGCUUGUGCAAGUCUCGUGAUCCUGAAUUUUUGUGAAUGCCACCGGCAGGUUAUUGAUCGUUUUCGACACGUCGUACUGAUUCUUCAUUCGGAGACAACAACGGGUCGAGACGCACACACAUGUCAUCAGCAAUCAUGAUACACCGGCAAUAAUUCGUUGGUGGUGACGGUCCGUCGGGUCGAGGCGACGGUCUAUAAUAAUAAGAACCGAUCCAAAUCUCUCCUGCACAUGGUGUACUUCGGUGAAUUGACGAUCGCUGCGAAAAUUGCCCGUCACUAGGCGACUAACGCGGUGGGCUCGCACACCACGACGCUGUAUUACGUUAUUUGUCUCGUUUUUUUUGUCUUUUCGACGAUAAGUAUAGUGAUAAGACAAACAUUAUAAAUUAAAUACUUUUGAUGAUUGUAUUGAUAUUAUGAUUUAAUUAAAUCUAAGUAACAAGGCUAGGUACUUAUGACUAAUAUAUUAACGAUUUAAAAAUCAUAUAAAUUGUAUUCGCCGUCAUCUCUAAGUUUUAGAAAAUUUGUGUAGAAUGUCGUACCAUGUUUAUACUUUAUUCUGAAUAUUAAUUCUAAUAAUAAUGUUUUAUUAUGCGAUCGUUCUUUCGAUAUUAUACAACACUAAGUUUAUAAAAUAUAUCCUCAUGACUUAUGUAUUUUGGUAGUAUCCGGAGUCGAGACAUUGCUUAACUCGCUAUUACAUUGAGUCGUUUGUUUUACCAUUCUUUACUUAAGGUACUCUCCGAGUGCUUUAUCUUAUUAAAUACAUAUACAACAAAUUAUGACUAACGAAAAUUAGAUAUAACUGAAACUACGAAUUAUUUAUGGCAUAACACAGUGUACGCGGACGGGACAAGGUUAAAAAGAAUAUUUAGUAUAUGGCAUAGUCACCUCGAAAUAUAAUAUUCUCUAAAGUCUUGGCCGGUCGGAGGUGGAAGAAUAUUGCGAACGUUUUUUUUUUUUUUUUUACUGUGCGUAACGAUUGUA